UUUUUAAUAUUUAUUUUAUUUAUAUGAGUACACUGUAGCUACUGUCAGACACCAGAAGAGGGCAUCGGAUUUCUUUACAGAUGGUUGUAAGCCACCAUGUGGUUGCUGGGAGUUGGAACUCAGGACCCCUGUAAGAGCAGUCAGGGCUCUUAACUGCUGAGCCAUCUCUCCAACCCAAGACUGAGGUUUUUGAUUCCUCUGUACUGACAGUUUUCACGACGUAUGGGAGAGUUUCAGCUAUUGUCUCUGCUUAAAAAACAAUUGUUCCCUACUUCCAUGGUUCUGCCUGCAUCUUGCUUGGUCCUUUGGUGUAAUAUCCAAGGGUCUAUUUAUUUGUUACCCAGUUUGUUUCUCCAGUAUGAUCAUUUCUACUGUUCAGUCUUAAAGAUUAGUUUUUUCUAUAUUGUCCAAGGUAUUUUCGAUCUCAUCUAACACAUUACUCAUUUCGACAGACUUUUUCUCCUCUGACAAUUCCAUUUUUAAAAAAUUCCCGGGGUUGGGGAUUUAGCUCAGUGGUAGAGCGCUUGUCUAGCAAGCGCAAGGCCCUGGGUUCAGUCCCCAGCUCCGAAAAAAAGAAAAAGAAAAAAAAAUUCCCUCCUGGAGCUAAAGAGAUGGCUCAGUGUUUAAGAGCACUGGGUGCUCUUCCAUAGGACCUGGGUUCAAUUCCCAGCACCCACAUGGCUGCUCACAACUGCCUAUAACACCAGUUUCAGGGAAUCUAACACCUUCACACAGACAUACAUGCAGGCAAACCACCAAUGCAUUUACAGUAAGAAGAAACAAAUCAUUAAAAAUCCCCUCCAUUGCUCUCUGCCUCUUUUCUCUCUGAUUCUAUUUCUCCCUCUCUCCCCUUCUCCCCUUCCUUCUUUCCAUGUGUUCCCAGCUGACCUCUUCUCUCUCUCUCUCUCUCUCUCUCUCUCUCUCUCUCUCUCUCGCUCUCUCUCUCUCUCAUCUCUGUUCCCUUUCUCUACCUCUGCUCCCUUCUCAACUCCCCUUCCCAUGCCCCCAAAUAAACUCUAUUCUAUACUAAAAAACAAACAAACAAACAAACCCUCCAUUUGAACUCAUUGUGUUUAAGAAAAUGCACUGCCUUUGCCAAGCCGGUUUCUCUUGUGUGCUUUCUCAUUCUUGCUUUUAUUGCUUGAGGAUGUCGCACUUGCAGAUAGUGUAUGUUGAUCAGAUCCACACCCACUCCCUCCCUUCAGUUCCUCUUGCUUCUUCUCCCUAGCACUGAGGCUACACCACACCCAGCUAACACAUGUUCACAGUAAAGGCCUGGGUCCAGCAAACAGCAGCCCCUGACUCUGUCCACCUUCAGGGCACAGCUCCACCACAGAGCUGACCCUUGUCAGCGUGUCUGCUUGUUUGGCUGUGCUCUUCCUCUAUGCUAUUCUACUAGGACAGAAACAAUACUAACCAAACACCAAGAGCAUCCUCAGGUGGCCUGAGUUCAAAUCCCAGCUAUCACUUACACGUAUAGCUGUAUGAACGUAUAGCUUUCUGCUCCUUGGUUUCCGUUUCAGUAACUGAGAAUGGCAACUUCUCUAUACUAGGCAAGACCAAUGCACUUGGCAGUUGUUUGUUGAGCAAAUGAGUGAGUGGCUACAUGAACAGAUCAACAAGAAGAGAGAAGACUGUAAAUAUCUGACAGGUUAAUAUUCUUAUUAAAAAUAAGGUAUUUUGGGUUGGGGAUUUAGCUCAGUGGUAGAGCGCUUGCCUAGGAAGCGCAAGGCCCUGGGUUCGGUCCCCAGCUCCAAAAAAAAGAACCAAAAAAAAAAAAAAGAUAUUUUACAUGUGAAACGCUGUGGGGUUUUUAAGGGCUUGUUUUUAGUUAUGUGUAUUUGUCUGUAUGUAGUGUGCUCACACAAAUACAGGUACCCACAGAACCCAGAGGGGUUGAAUCCCCUGAAGCUGGAGUUACAGGCAAUUGUGAGUCACAUGAUAUGAGUGCUGGAAAUGAAACUCAGGUCCUCUGAAGGAACAGUGGGUGCUCUUAACCACUGAGCCACUCUCCAGCCUGAACUGUGUGCAUGUGCAUGUGUGUGUGUGUGUGUGUGUGUGUGUGUGUAUGUGUGUGUCUGUGUGUGUAUGUGUGUGUAUGUGUGUGUCUGUGUGUGUGUCUGUGUGUCUGUGUGUGUAUGUGUGUGUAUGUGUGUGUAUAUAUGUGUCUGUGUGUCUGUGUGUGUAUGUGUGUGUGUCUGUGUGUGUAUGUGUGUGUGUGUGUCUGUGUGUCUGUGUGUGUAUGUGUGUGUGUGUAUGUAUGUGUCUGUGUGUCUGUGUGUCUGUGUGUCUGUGUGUGUGUGUCUGUGUGUGUCUGUGUGUCUGUGUGUCUGUGUGUGUCUGUGUGUGUGUGUCUGUGUGUAUCUGUGUGUAUGUGUGUGUAUCUGUGUGUGUGUGUCUGUGUGUAUGUGUGUGUAUGUGUGUGUGUCUGUGUGUGUGUCUGUGUGUCUGUGUGUGUGUGUCUGUGUGUGUCUGUGUGUGUCUGUGUGUGUCUGUGUGUGUCUGUGUGUGUGUCUGUGUGUGUGUCUGUGUGUAUGUGUGUGUAUGUGUGUGACUGUGUGUGUAUGUGUGUGUCUGUGUAUCUGUGUGUGUGUGUUUUAAAGUAAAUUUUUUCAUAUACAACAUAAACCAAAGCAAAAUAUACCCCUCUUGCAAAGUCCCUUCUUCUACCACACUUCCUUCUGACGAUGCAGAAAAAAUAAUUUUAUCCAGACUUACCCUUUCUUAUCAUGCCUGGAAAGGGUAUAAUUUUUUUAUCUAAUCUUUCUGCCCUGUUUUCUCUGUUCUUUCAUGUGACGGUGAAGGUGUAGAAUAAAUUCAUCAGGCCACGGGAGAAGUGUGGUCACUCUGAGUUGUCUCCCAAAACAAAGAUAUUUUCCUCAAGGCUUCUGCUGUGUGCUGGUGGUUGAAAUGCUUGAAUGUCAUUUCUUUUAGAUGUAUUGUUCUUGUGUAUGUGUGCGUUAUUUACAUGUAUAUCUGUGUACCACAUGAGUGCCUGGUGUCCACAGAAGUCAGAAAAGGACAUUGGAUCCCUGGAACUGAAGUUACUGAUGGUUGUGAGCCACCACGUGGGUGCUGGGAACUGGACUCACAUCCUCUGGAACAGUAGCCAGUGCUCUUAACCAUGAGACAUCUCUGCAGCCCCAAAGUGAUUCAGCUUCUGAUGUGGUAAUUUCCUCUUGUCUUUGGUGGUGACCAGGAUGACAACCUCCAUAGGAAGCAAGCUGAUCCAAGAAGGGGUUCUGAAGAUGAACGGGGGGAAUCCCAAGAGUUACUGAGGGAGCGCAGGGGAAGGAUCUAUGAGGAGCAGGUACAGGCAGGUAGAGCCUUCGGGUCCAACACUGGGUGUAGCAUCCCUUAAGGAGAAGCCAGGGCAGGACAAGCCUCAGAUUCUGUUGUAGCUGAGAAAAUCUCUGUCCCAGGGGCAGGAAGACCUUCUUGUUCUAGUGUACCCUGAACUGUGGCUCUCAGUGUUUUCCCCUGUUUGUCCCUCUGACCUGUGGAAUUCUUGAUCUGGAAGAAGACGCUUGGUGAUGCCUGCCUAAUCUGCCUCUCUCUGUGACCAGUGUCAUGUGACCUUCUCUCCCAGAAUCUGUCUUACUGUUAAAGAUUCUCAGGAGCCAUCCCAGUCUCCCUAACACUCAGCAUUGAGCUUCACGAGUUUGGUUUGAGUAGAUGUGUGGGUCAAUCAUCCUUUGGACCAUGGUGAAACCAGACUCCUUUCCUCCUCAUCAGAACUUGCAAUAGAUCUGUACUGACAAAGGUACACAAUACAUUUCACCCACAUGCUGGAACAUGUUUAUGAAGAUCGUUGUAACUGAGUAUUCUUUCUAGAGAGUUGACAUAUGUAGCCUAUAAUGUCAUAGAUAUUACUAAUUAUAUAAAGAAUAGUAUAUGCUGUGUAGAGAGGAGGGAGGUAGGGUCCCUCUAGCCCAGGCUGCCUGGAGUUUACUAGGUAGACCAGGUUAGCCUCGAGUUAGCCUCCUGCCUCUGUUUCCUGAGUGCUAGGAUUAUAUGUGUUCAACACAUAAGUCCCAUAAAACUAGGAAACAUUAUCAGGGAGCGGUGGCUAAUGUGAGUUAUGGACUUUAAAGGUAAUUCCUGAAGAAGGGGAUAACUGAAAAUGGACUUUUUUCCCUUCAAAGUUCUUUCACAAAGAAAAGGCUGGAACUGCCUGAACUGAGGCUGGCAGCCAGGUGAUGAGCUGUCAGUAACUAUUAACCCAGGUUCACUCCCAGCAGAGGAACAGGGUCAGCUGUGCGCUGUGGUCAGCAGGACAGCGAAGCUGUUUCUCAAGGGCUUGUUUCUCAACCUGGACCCAGUGUCCCUCAUGCCUUUUAAGGGUGCUCAGUGUCCCCCAUGUCUGUCAAGGGUGCCCAGUGCCCUCUGUGCCUGUCAAGGGUGCCCAGUGCCCCCUGUGCCUGUCAAGGGUGCCCAGCCUGCAGGUGAGCAGUUGUCCUUUCCUGACCACUGCUUAUUAUAUUUUCUGACAAAGGAAGUAAAGGGAUAUUGACAGGUCCAUUUUAUGUUGACCUGAAUGGACUUCACAUAUUCCUAGGUGUGACUGAGAACCUUUGUGAAGUAGGUUAACAUUUGAAUCUGGGGAUAGAAGUAAGCACCCCGAAUGGUGGGCCUUAAGGCCUCAACUAAUCGAGGGAAUGAAUAGAACGAAAAAGAAGAGAAAAUCUCUCUCUCCUCUCUCUCUCUCUCUCUCUCUCUCUCUCUCUCUCUCUCUCUCUCUCUCUCUCUCUCCCUGUCUAUACAGAUGGAAGCUAGACAUUUUCUUGUCUUGUCCAGUUAUGUCACUGUUUGUUUGUGACAAGGUGUCUCUCUGGAGCCUAAACUGGACCCAGAUUUUCCACCCUUCUGCCCCGAUCUCUAGAAAGCAGGAAUGCACUAUCAUGAAAUCCUAAAAGUCAGGAAUUGUUCACCUGGCUCAGGAAACCAAGGCUACAAAUUCACAGCAGUAAAAGCCUGACAACGGAGCCCUGAAUCUCCCACACUCUGCUGCCACAGUCCUUAGUACCACACACAGGCAAAGCUCCUGCCCCUCCUCACACCAAUCCCAGCAGCUUCACUUCAGGGUGCCCUGGAGUGACCUUUUCCUGAAAAACUCCCUUGAAAACAAAAACAUUCUUUGGUUCUUAAAGGAAAAAUAAUCCAGAAAGCUUUUUUUUUUUUUUAAUUAGACACCUAGACACGUACUAGUGUCUCAGUGCCAUCUGGCUCAUCGAUAAGUAGGCUGCUCUCCCUGCCUGUUCUCAGAGAAAAGGCUUUUAAAAAAAAUGAAAAAAGAGCAAGAUGGCUCUGUAGGUGGAAACACUUGCCACCAAGCUAAAGCUCUGGUGCAAUCCCCAGACCCACUGGGUGGAAGGAGAGAGCAGAUUUCCACAAGUUCCCCUCUGACCUCCACAGGUAGUGGCAUGCACAAACUAUACGCCCAGACAUUAAAUAGAAACAUGUAAUAUUUUCUUUUGGAAAAGGAGAAAAGUGAGCUGUCUGUCAGGGAUAACGGCAGCCACGGUGUUUUAAGUGUUUAUCAAGCCCCAUGACCUGGGCAGGGCUCUCACAGCAGCAGCUCUGGUGAUCGUUGGGGCAGACUUCCUCAAUUCCCACCACACAGAGAGCUUUAGGGGAUUUGAGCAAAAUACAGUCAGCCAGGCGUUGGUGCAGACUUAUCUGGCCUGAGUUCACUUUCGACCACAGUUCCAACUCUGGUGGAGACUUAUGGAUUAUAUAGGGAAGUGAUAGAGAGGCCUAAGGAGGUCCCAGCAUGCCCAGUGAUGUGUACAGAAACUGCUCCCCACAGGUGAGUGGGCUGUUUCGUCCUCUAUGAUGCCCUCAGCCAUCUGUGACUGGGAGAGGUGACAUCAGCAAAACUGACUGUCAGGGGGUUGGGGAUUUAGCUCAGUGGUAGAGCACUUGCCUAGGAAGCACAAGGCCCUUGGUUCAGUCUCCAGCUCCGAAAAAAAGAACCAAAAAAAAAAAAAAAACAAAAAAAAAACUGACUGUCAGGCUGUGCCCAGGACGCAGAGUUGAGUUCAGAGCGUUCCGUGAGCCCUGCCUUCCAGACAGAACCCUGACAGUGCCAUGUUCUGAGCUGUUUAACUGUUUCUCAAAGUCCUUGGCAGCUGGCCCUUGUGAAGGAGGCAACCUGCAACAAGUCCAUUGGCUUUCCUCUUUGAUCGAUCAAUCACUGCUGACUGACAGAUUUCCUUAGAGCCUGAGUUAUAUCACUAACCUAGGAAGACUGAAGAGACACCAGAAUGAAAGACCCAGAGACAAUUAAAGUGCAAGAUUUUAAUGAGAUAUUGAAAAUGGGCCAAGAAAAUAUUAAAGUAUUGGAGAAUGACUUGUCAGAGGAGAGGGAGAAGAGACAGCAACUGACGUCAGCUUUCACUGCUAUCCAGAAGUCCUUGCAAGUGGAUAGUGAGGAAUUCCAAAAAUCAAAGUCAGAACUCUUGUGCCUUUAUAAGGAAAUCCAGAGUCUUCCAAGGGCUGAGGGCAGAGAGCAAUUUUUAGUAGCAUAUAACCUGCUACAAAGAGAGAAUUCUGAAUUAGAAGCCAAGGUCUUGAAGUUUUCACAAGAAUUGGAACUGUUAAAACACUGCUCUAUAGGGGACAAAACUGCUAAUGUGAUGACAAGUGAAAACGUCUGUGAAGACCUGGUGUCCAAAGGGCCACUUUUGGAAGUGAAGGAUGUGAGCCCGAGUGAGGACAGACAGGCACUCUGUUCUGAAUUAGGAGAAAGUAAACAGGAGAAAAUGCCAGAGGAGUCAGUGAAGGCGGCCACUUUGCCAAGAGAGGGGCAGGAGUCACAGCAGAUGCGAGGCCACGAUCAGCCAUUGGCGGUGGAGCCCAAGGAAGUUGGGAGGCUUGAAGAAGAGGGGAGCCUCCAGUCUCAGAGCUGUGGUGAUAGUUCAGAUGACUGCAGCACCAAGUAUCUAACAUCUGGAGAGAAAGCAAGCUACCAGCAUCAAGGGGAACUGCGGGAACUGCGGCAGAACCUGCACCGCCUGCAGAUCCUGAGCAACUCGGCUGAGAAGGAGCUGCGGUACGAGCGGGGCCGGAGCCUAGACUUGAAACAACACAACAGUUUGCUCCAGGAGGAGAACCUCAAGAUCAAAAUUGAACUCAAGCAGGCCCAGGAGAAGUUGCUGGACAACGCCAGGAUGCACUCCUCCCUCAUGGCAGAGUGGAAGCUCUGUCAGCAGAAAGUCAAGGAGCUGGAGUUAGAAGGACUUAGGCAGACGCAGAGCAUUAAGUCCCAGCAGGGCCUACAGGAAAAGCUGGCUCGGGAGAAAUCGAAAACAGCGGAAGCACAGGAAAAGAUUUUGGACCUGCAGCAGAAACUAGACCACGCUCGACAAGUCUGCCUUUCAGAUGUUUGCAUUUUGCGGAGGAAGCAGCUAGAGGAAGAGAUCAAGGAAGCAAAGAGCACAGAGGCCAGGCUUAAGCAGCAGUGCCAGGAGGAGCAGCAGAGGAGGAUUCUUCUAGACCAGGAUGUAAAUGAGCUCCAGAGACAAGUGAGAACCUUGCAGGAUAAGGAGAGCCAACAGGAAGCAGCCAAUUCCCAGCAACAAGAGACUCUACGCAAACAACUGGAAAUCGAGAGAAGAAAGUGUGAAGAGUAUGUCAAGAGCAACCAGGAAUUGUCAGAGAAACUCGCUAGCUUGCAGCAAGAAAAGGAAGCUCUAUGGCAUGAACACGGGCAGUUUUUGGAGCAACUGGGCGAUCACGUGAGGUAAACAAAGCAGGUUCCCUGUGGACAGACAGGGUACAGAGGACUGAUCUGCGAGCAGCCCCCAGAGCAAUCACACAGCUGGGGCCAUCAGUGUGAUUCCCCAGUUCCAUCUACCCACUGUUCCAAGGAAGGUGUGGGGCCCAAUUCCUUCCCAAGAAGAGGGAUUUAACUAUUCAUGGAACUCUGUUUGUAUGUAUCUUGCUCUCCCCAAGAAUACCGUCUCACUGUCUUCAAGGGUUUUCCUUGCGUUCUUCAGUAGUUACUAUUUAUUUUUAAUUUAUGUGAGUGUGAGCCUGCAUGCAUUUACAUGUGCAUGCAGGAGUCCCUGGACACCAUAAGAGGGCAUCAGAACCCCUAGAACAGGGGUUACAUACAGGUGGUUGUAAGCCACCAUGUGGGUACCAGGUACUGAAAUGGUGCCCCCUGGAAGAGCAACGAGCAUGCCUAAGCCUUGAGCUGUCUCUCCAGGCUGUCUCUUACUUCCUUUCGUCCGCCUAGACAGUAUGGACACCAGACAUCAUACUGGGAGAUCCAGGGAGAUCCAGGGAGCACAAAAGUCCUAACUGAUCUCUGACUGCAGUGUUACCUGCCUCAACAGAAGAGCCUUCCAGGGACCUCCCUGAGGCCAGGCCCAAGUUGCAUUCUCAUUGCCAUCCACAAACAGCUGCUGUCUUCAAGGGUUUUCCUUGCGUUCUUCAGUAGUUACUAUUUAUUUUUAAUUUAUGGUACCAACCUGCUACAGAAUCUGCGUGCCCCUUGGGGUGGUUGGGAAACCACAUUAUUUUACGCAGUGUAAUUUCAUGCCUUGACCAGCAGUUGGCGCCAAGGAGCACAUAGCGCGAAAGUGCUGUCUGAAAAGCUUAGGCUGGCCAGUCAUCCCACCCCAGGCCUGAUUCCCUUUGGAAUGGCUCCAGGGUCAAUGAUUGAACAGCACUAUGCCUCGUUAGUGCCCUGGCAAACGUCCAGAAGCAUCCCGCCACUGCUGCUACCAUGAUGGAGAAUCUGCUGUUUCUCCAUGUCUCCUCUGAAGGGGGAAGGGAUCUUGAUGAAAAUUUCCUCCCACAUCCUUGCUUUUGACAUAUGUAGAAUACAUGUCCAAAAGACUAAUAGACAAUUCAAUGCAUUUUGAAAAACGUGUAUAUACAUGUAACUCCCACCUCAAUCAAGAUGCAGAGCACAUCCCCACUGCUAGAGUCUCUCCUGCCCGUGUGUAGUCAGUCUGCAGCUGUGUCCCCUGUGUCUUCCUCAGGCAAGCACUGCUGUGCUGUCGGCAGUUCCCAGAAUUUCUAAGUAGGCUCACUCUGCAUGCUGUUCUUUUCAUGCCUGACUUGAGCAACAGCUCAACACAUUCUGUUAGUUACAUGUGUACUUACCGCCAGGUCUUUCCACUGUAGCGUGUGUGUGUGCGCGUGUGUGAGCAUGUGUGUGUGAUGGCUGUGAAGCUGUGUGUGUGUGUGUGUGUGUGUGUGUGAUGGCUGUGAAGCUGUGUGUGUGUGUGAGCAUGUGUGUGUGAUGGCUGUGAAGCUGUGUGUGUGUGUGCGUGUGUGUGUGUGUGAUGGCUGUGAAGCUGUGUGUGUGUGUGUGUGUGAUGGCUGUGAAGCUGUGUGUGUGUGUGCGUGUGUGUGCGAUGGCUAUGAAGCUGAAUAAUUUUCCACACUUUUUAUGCAUGACCUUUAGGAAAGUGACUUCAAUCCCAGCAGCACGUGCGUGGGUCCCUACAUACAUAAAUAUAAUCACAAUCUAUGAAAACCAACCAGUGUUUCCCAGAGCAUCACGAUACAGUUCUAACCUGUAUCCAGGGCUGAAGAGCACAGAUCUAUGAAGGGCAAUGGAAGGAAACGUCAAAGCACAAGGUUCAUUUUUGUUUCUGGCUCCCUGACCCCAGUCCUGAACUUUACAGAUAAAUCUUGUAUUUAUAUGUUUCCCAACUGCUUUUCCAGAGGAACAAAUUCCCCACCUUCUUGAAGCCCAAUUAAUAAGUGAUCUGGUUUUACUUAGACACAAGCUGAAAGUUUCCCCCUAAGUGUUGUGCUACCUCAUGAGGCUGGUGGUUAACACAGUCAGCAGGACAGGAAAGCCGCAUGUCCUUUGGGCAAGCGGACCUAGAGCCUCAGAGCACACCAGUAUCUAAGCCAGCCAGGCAGACAGCAGUAGCCAGGGAAGCCUCCUGGUUCUCCCUGGCCGUUUGGCAUCGUGUGUGCAUGAACCCACACACAGAUACACAUGUGCACACUAGACAGAAAACAUGACAAUACUAAACAUAUUGGGAAUCAGCUGUUUCCCAAGUUUCUCUAUACUUUAUUCCUUUCUUUUCAAAAUAAAACAAGUUUUUAGUUAAUCUAAGUGGCAAGGUAGCAGCUCUUUGGUUGGGAAGCUCAAAAUUUGGGACUUUAACUCAUUCAUUCAUUCAUUCAUUCAUUCAUUCGUUCACCCAUUCAAUGUGUAUGAGUUUUGUUUGCAUGUAUGUUAGUACACCACAUGCAUGUCUGUGUCCUUGGAGGUCUGAAGAGGGCCUGGGAUCCCCUGGGACUGGAGUUAUAGAUGGUUGUGAGCUGUCCCUGUGGGUGCUGGGAAUAGAACCUAUGUUCUCUGCAAGAGCAUUCAGUGCCCUUAACUGCUCGGCCAACUCUCCAGCCCAAGAUUGGGUAUCAAUAGCCAGGACAAUAGGAUUUCUGAAAGUAUGUGCUGUGUGUCAGAUGAUGUCAGACCAUCACUGCGUGUGAUGUCAUGGACCUGUGCCGUUAGCUACAGAUUAAUAGAGGCAGCAGAGCAGACCUUCAAGGUCAGCUUCAGAUAUGUAGCCAAGUUCAAGGCUACCCUGGGCUACAUGAGACACAACAUUUUAGAAAAAAAAAUCAUGACUUAACUGGCUGUGGUGGCACACACCUAUAAUCUCAGCACUCAGGAAGUGGAGGCAGAAGGAUCAGGAGUUCAAAGCCAGCCUGGGCCACAUUGUGAGAAAAUUGUCUGGAAAUCAAAAAUCCAUCACUGUCAACACCUGGGGGACCUAGAGGAGGAUAGGAAGGUUGUAUGUACUGUGAGAUGCCCCAUCUCUCAUGCUCCUCAGAAUGCUGAUACCGGGGAAUGGUUUCCACCACUCAUCCCCAACACAACAGAAAAGGAGAUUGUUAUGGGAGGGAAUCAUCAUCUUAGGAACUGAAAACAGUUUAUAGAAGUGUGUAUUUAGGGCUGGAGAGAUGGCUCAGUGGUUAAGAGUCACCCUCUGCUCUUCCAGAGGUCCUGAGUUCAAUUCCCAGCAACCACAUGGCUCACAACCAUCUGUAAUGGGAUCUGAUGCCCUCUUCUGGUGUGUGUGAAAACAGCCACAGUGUACUACACAUAUCCAUAAAAUAAAUAAAUCUUUUUUUAAAAAGAUUUUUUAAAAAAAGUGUGUACUUCACUCUAUAUAGCAGGUGCCAUGGAUAGAAAUAGGUCUGUGGCAAGUUUAUGAAUGUAGUGUCUAUAGUGAGUACCAUUAGUUAGGGGACUUAUUGAAAACCUGAAUAUAAAUGGCUUCAGAGACCAGGAUGCAGCUCAGUCAGUAGUUACAUGAGGACCCGAGUUCAGUCCCCAGAAUCCAUGUAAUAAGCCUAUAACUGAGGGAGAGGCAGAAGACAGGCAGCCCCUGGAGUUCACUGACCAGUCAACCUUGUCAGAUGGGUGAGCUCCGGGUUCAAGGUCAAAAUACCAGAUGGAGAACAAUACUCAGACAUUGACCUGUGUCCUCCAUACUUAUCCGCACAUUUAUGCAUACCUGCACAUACUCAUGGAAACGUGCACAUGCACACACACACACACACACACACACACACACACAAAGCUGGAGAUAAAAAGCUGGACAUGGUGACACACACCUGCUGUAACCUCAGCCCUGGGAUCACAAAUUUAAGGCUAGCUUGGGCCACAUAGUGAGUCCCAGGCCAGUCUAAGCUCUAUGGUGAGUCUCUGCCUCAAAGAAGCAAAAAGAGAGGCAUGCGGUGUGUGCAGGGUUUCUCUCUUAUCUGACAAUGCAGACAUAAGCAGUCCAUGACCAACAUCGAGGUUCCCUGCGUCAGAAGCUGGGGCUUCCAUUGUCCUGCUGCUGCUCCGGCAACUUUUGGUCUUUUGUUGUUUUGGUUGGUCGGUUUUAGUUUUGGGUUUUGGUUUUUUGUUUGGCUUGGUUUGGUUUGGUUUUUGUUUGUUUUUCGGCAGGGUUUCUCUGUGUAGGCCUGGAACUCACCCUAUACUUGAACUCAGAGAUCUGUCUGCCUCUGGUAUGCCACUGCCACCUGGCUUUGCAUCUCGUGACUUUAACAUGUGGAAUUUCUCCACAUUGCUGAAGACAGUUCACUACAAUCCCCACUUUUCAGUGGGUAAGCAGGGAGAGGGGCAGGCUCACAGCGGCUUCUUUUAAGGCACACUUCCUCCUUACAUUCUGUUAGCCCAACUGUACAUGGAUUUAUGUAGACACAAGGAAAGCUAGAGAAAUCUAGCUAUACGGAAAAAUAAUUUCAUUAUUUUAUAAGACAGCCCUUCCUCAGCCAAAUCUCAUGGACUCUGUAAUGGUAAAAUAAAAUUAAGGGCCAGCCAGUAGGCUCGGCUGGAAAAGGAAGGCACGUGUCAUAAAGCCUGAUGUUCUGAGUUCGGUCCCUGGAACCCACAUGUGGUGGAAGGAGAGAAUCAACUCUUACACGUCGUCCUCUGACUGCUACACAUAUGUUAUGAAAGAAUAAUAAAAACUUUUAAUAUGCGAAGAGUAUAGACUGUGAAUGGUAUCACAUGCCUUCAGGCUCGACACUGAGGAGGGAGGCAGAGGCAGGUGGAUUCCUGUGAGUUCAAGGCCAGCCUGGCCUAUAUAGAAAGUUUCAGGUCAACCAGGGCUAUAUGGUGAGACCCUGUCUCACAACAAAACACAACAGUGUAGCCAGGAGCCUGAAAAACCUAAUUUUCCUCUGUGGGGCAGGAUUCAGAAUUCCUACAUCAGGAAUCCAAAGCCCAGGAGUUUCCUAAAUUAAACCCAGACACUGGACAGUCAUCAGUUCAAACCAAGAAACUACAAAGACAAACACCACUGCCACAAAGCCAAGCUCCAAAAGGUCAAGGACCGUCUGACUCUCGAGUUAGAGAUACGGAAUAAGA